rnacentral:rRNA from 1 species
AGAGUUUGAUCCUGGCUCAGAACGAACGCUGGCGGCAGGCCUAACACAUGCAAGUCGAGCGCUCCCUUCGGGGGGAGCGGCGGACGGGUUAGUAACGCGUGGGAAUAUACCCUUUUCUAAGGAAUAGCCUCUGGAAACGGAGAGUAAUACCUUAUACGCCCUUCGGGGGAAAGAUUUAUCGGAGAUGGAUUAGCCCGCGUUAGAUUAGAUAGUUGGUGGGGUAACGGCCUACCAAGUCGACGAUCUAUAGCUGGUUUGAGAGGAUGAUCAGCAACACUGGGACUGAGACACGGCCCAGACUCCUACGGGAGGCAGCAGUGGGGAAUCUUAGACAAUGGGCGCAAGCCUGAUCUAGCCAUGCCGCGUGAGUGAUGAAGGCCUUAGGGUCGUAAAGCUCUUUCGCCAGGGAUGAUAAUGACAGUACCUG